GACGAACGCUGGCGGCGUGCUUAACACAUGCAAGUCGAACGGUAAGGCCCUUCGGGGUACACGAGUGGCGAACGGGUGAGUAACACGUGGGUGAUCUGCCCUGCACUUCGGGAUAAGCCUGGGAAACUGGGACUAAUAUCGGAUAGGACCACUGCCUGCAUGGGUGGUGGUGGAAAGCCUUUGCGGUGUGGGAUGGGCCCGCGGCCUAUCAGCUUGUUGGUGGGGUGAUGGUCUACCAAGGCGACGACGGGUAGCCGGCCUGAGAGGGUGACCGGCCACACUGGGACUGAGAUACGGCCCAGACUCCUACGGGAGGCAGCAGUGGGGAAUAUUGCACAAUGGGCGCAAGCCUGAUGCAGCGACGCCGCGUGGGGGAUGACGGCCUUCUGGUUGUAAGCCUCUUUCAGCACCCACGAAGCGCAAGUGACGGUAGGUGCAGAAGAAGGACCGGCCAACUACGUGCCAGCCGCCGCAGUAA
rnacentral:rRNA from 1 species